rnacentral:misc_RNA from 1 species
UGAUUUUGCGUCGCAACGGAGCCUUACUAAAGCUGUGUUAAGCCAAAGUAUUUUUGGUAGCAAUGCUUCUUUUCAAUACAUUAUAGAAAAACACAACAAAACUAAAAAUUCAGUAUUAAGUCUUCAACAGCCAAAUACAAAAGCUGCUGAGGUAGAAAUAAAUAUACAAAAUAAUCGUUUCAAGAGUUCACUAAUAGAAAGUAUGUUUCCAAAAGAAUUAGUGACCAAUAUAAAUUUCAUAAUAAUGAUGAUAGCAACGUUUAUGUUGGGUGUCCCGUCCUUUGUUCCAUUUAGUAUGUUACCAGAUUAUGCCCUCACGACUGACUCUUCGCCAUCACAAACCGCAUGGCUGCUAUCUGCAAUUGGAAUUGGAGGUACGAUUGGUCGUAUGGGUGCUGGGAUACUAUCUGAUAUGCCAUGUGUUCACCGUCUUACCUUGAACAGUGUCUGCUUUCUUACAGUCGGGGCAGUUACAGUAGUUGCAGCUAUUUUACCAAAGUAUGAAGUGCUUCUGAGUUCCUCGGUGAUUUUUGGAGUGUUCUAUGGUGCUAUUUACGUCGUACAACCCGUUGUCUUGUUAGAGUACAUUGGUGAACAAUACGUUAGUGAGUUUAUGGGAGUGUUAAUGAGUGUUUAUGGAGUAUCUGGUUUGAUUGGAAACCCUCUUGCAGGGCCUGUGUUUGCCUUUAUCGUAAACAAAGUUGGAUACAGAAAAGCCUCGCUAAUCGGUACACUUGUAGGAACGGCGGGAUUAAUCAGCAGCAGUUAUGCCACAGAAGUGUAUCAUUUAUAUUUAAGUUAUGGAGCACUACAAGGCUUCGGUUUUGGCUUGGUGUAUCUAUCUGGAACAGUUGCCAUAAGUCGCUAUUUUCUCAACAAACGGGCUCUAGCAAUUGGUAUUUCUUAUUGCGGAAGUGGUAUAGGACUAUUUGUUAUACCACCUCUUGUCAGGUUACUUUUUGAGGCAUAUUCUUGGAGAGGAAGUUUGUUUAUUCUGGCGGGCAUGAUGCUAAACUGCUGUGUGUGUUCCGUUUUAUACAGACCUUUACAUCCCGCUAAUGUUACUUUUAAUGAGGAAGAUGAUGUUAAGGUUUGUGAUAAAUCUGCGGCAAUUGAUAAUUGUGUCACCUCUGGAAAUGGACAUGUUGCUCUUGAACAGGCUAGUCCUUUACUCAAUAAUGAUAACAGAUUAAUCACUAAUAAGCCUGUUAAAGAAGGGAAACUUGUAAGCCCAUCAACACCACGAAGCUUCGCCGAAAUGAGAAAAGAACAGCUAGAGUCUUUAAAUGAAAGCAAUGAUUAUGCGUCGCAACGGAGCCUUACCAAAGCUGUGUUAAGCCAAAGUAUUUUUGGUAGCAAUGCAUCUUUUCAAUACAUUAUUGAAAAACACAACAAAACUAAAAAAUCACUUCUAAGUCUCCAACAGCCAAAUACAAAAGCUGCUGAGAUAGUCAUAAAUAUACAAGGCAAUCAUUUCAAGUGUUCACUAAUAGAAAGUUUGUUUCCAAAAGAAUUAGUGACCAAUAUAAAUUUCAUAAUAAUGAUGAUAGCAACGUUCUUGGUGGGUGUCCCGUCCUUUGUUCCAUUUAGUAUGUUACCAGAUUAUGCCCUUACGACUGAUUUCUCGCCUGCACAAGCCGCAUGGCUACUGUCUGCAAUUGGAAUUGGAGGUAAAUUUAACAAUUUAUUAAUCAUUAUUAAUGAAAUGAGACUUAAUGAUCUAGUUUUUUCUAUACAGAGUUUUUAUUUUAUUUUAUUCUUUUUUUUUUUUUUUGGAUAUCCAAACGAUAAAAAUUGUUUAUGCUUGUGUUUGUCAAAAUAUGUGUCACUUAAUGUCAUAAAUAUUAAAUGAAAUAUGCAAACCUUAGCGUUUCAUUUCAGCUUUGACAAUAUCUUUGUGCGGAAGAGCUUCACUUAGAGUCAAUUUCUCCGUUAGAAAACUCACUCGUUGGCUUUCGGUAUUUCUGACAGUACGAUUGGUCGUAU